GUAGAAGGCUAGGGGUGCCCGCUUAAGCAGGCUGAGAAAAAGGUAGUUUCCUUUUACCCUUGUACCUGAUCUGGUUCGUACCAGCGUAGGGAAGUCGACUGCAAAUGAG
rnacentral:ncRNA from 2 species